UGAAAUAUGCUGCAUAACUAAAAUUUUUGUUUCUUCUUUUAAUAUAUGUAUGUGGUUUGUUCAUAAAUUUUGGCACUGGCUGCAUAAAUUACAGGUACAAUGAAAAUGAAAUAUUCUGCAUAUCUAAAUUUUUUGUUUUGUCCUUCUCUAUAUGUGUGUGGUUUUGUUCAUAAAUUUUGUCACUUCAGCUUGUUGAAGCUGUUCUGAUUAGGAAUUUUGGAGGAAUCUUUUAUAUUUCUCAUGCAGAAGAUUUUUGUAAAUUAAUGUAUUUGAG
rnacentral:misc_RNA from 1 species